GAUGAAGAACGUAGCGAAAUGCGAUAAGUAAUGUGAAUUGCAGAAUUCAGUGAAUCAUCGAAUCUUUGAACGCACAUUGCGCCCCUUGGUAUUCCGAGGGGCAUGCCUAUUCGAGCGUCAUUAUCACCCCUCAAGCUCCGGCUUGGUGUUGAGGCCUGCUGUAAAGGCACCCUCUAAAAUCAGUGGCAGUGCUGUCAGGCUCUAAGCGUAGUAAUUCUCUCGCUACAGGGUCCCGGUGGACACUCGCCAGAACCCCCCCAUUUUUCAAUGAUUGACCUCGGAUUAGGUAGGGAUACCCGCUGAACUUAAGCAUAUCAAUAAGCGGAGGA
rnacentral:misc_RNA from 1 species